CGCACUGCCCGCUGGGCGCGCGAGAGCUGCGGCGGAGGGGGCCGCCGCCUGCGGGACGAGCGGGGUCUCUGAGAGGAGACAAGGAGAGACUCACGGAAGGGGAGGAGAAGCUGGACUGACUCACACCGAAAAGUAGCAACGGUGUAGGAAGGAAAAGCAUCACUAUGAACAAAGCUAGUGGAGGUGAUGGAAUUCCAGUUGAGCUAUUUCAAAUCCUGAAAGAUGAUGCUGUGAAAGUGCUGCCCUCAAUAUGCCAGCAAAUUUGGAAAACUCAGCAGUGGCCACAGGACUAGAAAAGGAGUUGGCGUACAUACUGGAAGUGUCCCUUAUCUAAUUUCACCAAGUACAAGGUUCUGAGGUUUUGGGUUCUUAGAGUUCUGUGGAGAGACAGUCUGUUUUCCUCAUAAGUAAGCCUCACAUUCUGUGUCUCCUACUUCCCUGAAUCUACUUAUGAUGUUCCUGCCAUCUCUGCUGGAUGAUAACAACUGCAAGCCCAAUGCUCGCUGUUAAGCAAGGAGGCCAAAAGGCUGGGAGAACCAUAGCUGCCCUUUUCAGAGCGACAGCAUCUUCUGGGUAGCUAAUGCUUGGACUUCUAAGUAAAGAUCCCUUCAUGGAAACCACACAUAUAGUGAUGCUUUCUAAGGCCCACUUGACUUCACAUUCCAGGAUGUCUGGCUCUAGCUAUUUUCUGCUAGGAGGCGACAGAGGAUGAGAUGGUUGGAUGGCUGCCAACUCAAUGGAAAGGAGUUUGAGCAAACUUCGGGAGAUAGUGAAGGACAAGGAAGCCUGGCGUGUUGCAGUCCAUAGGGUCGCAAAGAGUCGGACACAACUGAACAACUUUCUGCUCAUUAUACUGACCAGCUAAAACUAAGAUUAAAUAAUAGUAAGGAACAAUACUUGACUUUAAUUCUGAUUGAAACAAAUCAGUUGAAUAAUUGGUCAUGCAAGCAAAAGUAUCAAAGGCACUGCCUUUUUCUUAAAGGAUCAAGGAAAGUUCCAAUUCUUUGUAAAUGGCUGAUAAACACCUUUCACCACCAGGUGGCAUACUCAAUUGUUCAGAAAUCCUCCAAUGAGUGAGUAACCCAAAGAAGGAUCCAUUACGAGGUUAAACAUCAGUGGAAAAAAUGGAAUGAUGAAAAGACACAACUGAAGAAGCUGUUACAUUUCUAACGUUUUCUGUCCCCAGUUGAAGUGCAGAGUAUGGGUUUUAUGUAGAAUUUGCAGGAAAUAGCUUGUUGAGAGUUGGCAGUCAAAAAUUUUGAUUUUAUUGGAACACUAUCUCUUACUGUUUGAAGACAUCUUCUUCAAAACUUGUCCAAAUACCAAACUUUUGCGGCAAUUUUUUGUUGUUGUUGUUGCUAUAUGCCAUUUUUUUUGCAGAAAUGCAAACUACCCCUAAAUCUGAUGAUGGAUUAAAAACAAACAAACAAACAAAAAAAGCAGGAGGGGGAAAGGUCUAUUCAGAUAGAAGUUUUAACCCACUUAUCCCUUAAGCCUGAGACUGUUUUGGCAAGGGCAAAGCCAGGCAAGCUACAUAUUUUCUGCAUAUCUCUCUGACAGACGAUCUGAAGUUAGGAUACAAAAACACGGGAACUCAAAUUGAUUUUUCUGGCAUAGAGUGCAUAUGUCACUAUGCUUUUUCACAAACAUUACUGCACCUUGCUUUCUUAGAACUUGGAUAUGACAUAAUUGCAGACUUUGUCACUUUUCAGCAGCACAUUUUUUAAGGUAUCUAAUGCAGAUGUGAACACAACCUUGGAAUACAAAAUUUCAGAUUCUGUUCUGUAGAAGGAUUGCUGUGGGAAAGUGGAUUCAGGUGUGUAGUGCUUGGCUCUAUUUUGACUUUUAGAAGUUGUCCUCAUAUUUACUUUGCAAUUCAGUACAAAGGUAGAUGCUCUCAGUUCAAAAGGUUAUACAUGAAACUGUUGGAUUCUCUAAUUACAUUUGUCAAGUUUCUAACAUAUGCAUAUUUUUAGUACAUUGAUUUUAUGUUUAUUUUCUUAAACUGAUGUCUAUGGUAAUGAUACUAAUAAUAGCUACUUUUUGCUGAGGUAGUAUAGUAAAGGUUAAAGUCAAUGGCCCUGGGCAAUAGUGGGGGGGUUCUUCCUAGACUCUGACCCCAGCUCUGCCUCUUAUUAGGUGUGUAACUUUGGCAAAGCAUUUAACCUGGCCUGCCAGGCAUCUCUGGUCAUUGGAUUCUUUAGGCAAGAGUACUGGAGUGGGUUGCCAUGCCCUCCCCCAAGGGGUGGAUUGAAUUCAGGUCUCCUGUACUCCAAGCAGAUUCUUUACCUCUGAGCCACUAGGUAAGCCCCUCUGAACCCUAAGAGAAGACAAAUGUCAAGUCUCUAGGCAGUAAAUAGUUGGUACCUACUCUUCUAAGGGUAGAAUUUGAAAAUCAGAAGUUAAUACUUCAAUUAACUCAUCUCUGAAUGACAGAUAAUAACAGUACUAACUUUUAUAGCAUUUGUGAGGAUUACAUGAUGUAAAGUAUAUGACAUACUGAGUUGAGUGACCUGCACAUAGUCAAUAAUUGAGAAUCAUUGUUUUAUUGUAAUUACUAUUCUUUUUCAGGCACCACAUAUACUAUUUCAUCAAUAAAAUUUUUAUCUUCAUUUUUUUAAGUAGAAACUUAGGCCCAAACAGGCUAAAAGGAAUUUGAGCGAGCAAUAAAACCCCAGUCUGGCUCCAAAGCCCCAGACCCUUUAUUGACAAUCUAUUUGCCUCUAACCAGUAGACAUUCUAAUAUCAAAAGAGCUGACAGUGAGCAACCAAGGAACAAGUUUUAUUUCAAUUUAAUUGUUCAGAGAAGGGAAAUUUCUCAUAUCACUUUGCUGAUACUCUACUACAUAGUUACUGAAAAAUACAUUGUUUAAGUUUUGAGGCCUUUUAAAAAACAUCAUGAUGAUAUCUUCUAUCAUUCAGACAAUGACUUAUAGAGAUUCCAUGAUCGAAUAAAAAAAGACAAUAUCAUAUUGUUUAAAUAUUCCAAAGUCUCUGUCAGAUUUAUAGACUUCAUACUUUGUGGUGCAGUUUAAGAAAACAAGAAAGCUGAUAUGAAGUAUUUUGUACAAAAAUGUUACAUGAAAUUAUUAUUUUUACCUCUAAUGCUUAAUUUUUACUGCUAGUGUUUACAAAAUGCACCUGGCUAAAUAUAAAUGAGCCAAUCAGUUGGUGUUCCAGAUGUCUUGGGAAAUAUCCAGAUGUUUUGAUCUUAAAAAAGGAUAUUUUCAAAAUAAACAUUUUAUUUUCCCACUUUUCAGCUGCAUGUGCUAGCCUAGCUAUUACACAGACUUAACUAUAAUUUGCUUUUUAGUAUAAAAUAACCUGAAUCUUUUCACGGAGAAAAUCUGAUUUUAAGAAUAUAAACUUAAAGUCACUUUGGAAACAUUUUUGAAAAUUUGAAAAGUAAAAGGACUGUCUGUACCAGGGAUUGGCAAACUUUUUCUAUCAAAGGCCAGAUAGUAAAUAUUUUAGGCUUUUCCUGCCUAAAGUCCCUCCUGAAAAUACUUAACACUGCCUUUGUAGAGUUGGUAUGCAUGGUUGGAUUCCAAUAAAGCUUUAUUUGCCAAAGCA